rnacentral:sRNA from 1 species
GCCAGGUGCGGUGCCUCACACCUGUAAUCCCAGUAGCUUAGGAGGCUGAGGCAGGAGGAUUGCGAGUUCAAAGCCAGCCUCAGCAACAGUGAGGUGCUAAGCAACUCAGUGAGACCCUGUCUCUA